AUUGAACGCUGGCGGCCGGCCUAACACAUGCAAGUCGAACGCGUGGCGGUCGGGUGUGUUAUGUCUGGGAAUCUGCCUGAUGGAGGGGGAUAACUACUGGAAACGGUAGCUAAUACCGUAUACCAUCAGAUGUGCCCAGAUGGGAUUAGCUUGUUGGUGGGGUAACGGCUCACCAAGGCGACGAUCCCUAGCUGGUCUGAGAGGAUGACCAGCCACACUGGAACUGAGACACGGUCCAGAAUCCUACGGGAGGCAGCAGUGGGGAAUAUUGGACAAUGGGCGAAAGCCUGAUGCAGCCAUGCCGCGUGUAUGAAGAAGGUCUUCGGGUUGUAAAGUACUUUCAGCGGGGAGGCGUUACCCGCAGAAGAAGCACCGGCUAACUCCGUGCCAGCAGCCGCGGUAAUAC
rnacentral:rRNA from 1 species